CGGAUUGGAGUCUGCAACCCGAACUCCAUGAAGCUGGAUUCGCUAGUAAUCGCGCAUCAGCCACGGCGCGGUGAAUACGUUCCCGGGCCUUGUACACACCGCCCGUCAAGCCAUGGAAGCCGGGGGGUGCCUGAAGUGCGCUGCCGCAAGGAGCGCCCUAGGGUAAAACCGGUGACUGGGGCUAAGUCGUAACAAGGUACC
rnacentral:rRNA from 1 species